GACGAACGCUGGCGGCGUGCUUAACACAUGCAAGUCGAGCGGAAAGGCCCUGCUUUUGUGGGGUGCUCGAGUGGCGAACGGGUGAGUAACACGUGAGUAACCUGCCCUUGACUUUGGGAUAACUUCAGGAAACUGGGGCUAAUACCGGAUAGGAGCUCCUGCUGCAUGGUGGGGGUUGGAAAGUUUCGGCGGUUGGGGAUGGACUCGCGGCUUAUCAGCUUGUUGGUGGGGUAGUGGCUUACCAAGGCUUUGACGGGUAGCCGGCCUGAGAGGGUGACCGGCCACAUUGGGACUGAGAUACGGCCCAGACUCGUACGGGAGGCAGCAGUGGGGAAUAUUGCACAAUGGGCGGAAGCCUGAGGCAGCAACGCCGCGUGCGGGAUGACGGCCUUCGGGUUGUAAACCGCUUUCGCCUGUGACGAAGCGUGAGUGACGGUAAUGGGUAAAGAAGCACCGGCUAACUACGUG
rnacentral:rRNA from 1 species